rnacentral:rRNA from 1 species
UACGGAGGGAGCUAGCGUUGUUCGGAAUUACUGGGCGUAAAGCGCACGUAGGCGGCUUUUUAAGUCAGGGGUGAAAUCCUGGAGCUCAACUCCAGAACUGCCUUUGAUACUGAAGAUCUUGAGUCCGGGAGAGGUGAGUGGAACUGCGAGUGUAGAGGUGAAAUUCGUAGAUAUUCGCAAGAACACCGGUGGCGAAGGCGGCCACCUGGACGGUAACUGACGCUGAGACGCGAAAGCGUGGGGAGCAAACAGG